GAACUCUUAGCUUAGUUAUGGUUAGAGCAUACCCCUGAUAAGGGUAAGGUCGCUGGUUCAACUCCAGCAGGGUUUA
rnacentral:tRNA from 1 species